rnacentral:rRNA from 1 species
AUUCCUACGGGAGGCAGCAGUGGGGAAUAUUGCACAAUGGAGGAAACUCUGAUGCAGCAACGCCGCGUGGAGGAUGACGCAUUUUGGUGUGUAAACUCCUUUUAUAGGGGAAGAUAAUGACGGUACCCUAUGAAUAAGCACCGGCUAACUCCGUGCCAGCAGCCGCGGUAAUACGGAGGGUGCGAGCGUUACUCGGAAUCACUGGGCGUAAAGGAUGCGUAGGCUGGAAAUCAAGUCGAAAGUGAAAUCCGACGGCUCAACCGUUGAACUGCUUUCGAAACUGGUUACCUAGAAUAUGGGAGAGGUAGAUGGAAUUAGUGGUGUAGGGGUAAAAUCCGUAGAUAUCACUAGGAAUACCGAUUGCGAAGGCGAUCUACUGGAACAUUAUUGACGCUGAGGCAUGAAAGCGUGGGGAGCAAACAGGAUUAGAUACCCUGGUAGUCCACGCCCUAAACGAUGCACACUAGUUGUUGCGAUGCUAGUCAUUGCAGUAAUGCACUUAACAGAUUAAGUGUGCCGCCUGGGGAGUACGGUCGCAAGAUUAAAACUCAAAGGAAUAGACGGGGACCCGCACAAGCGGUGGAGCAUGUGGUUUAAUUCGAAGAUACACGAAGAACCUUACCUGGGCUUGAUAUCCUAAGGAUCCUGUAGAGAUACGGGAGUGCUAGUUUACUAGAACUUAGAGACAGGUGCUGCACGGCUGUCGUCAGCUCGUGUCGUGAGAUGUUGGGUUAAGUCCCGCAACGAGCGCAACCCUCGUGAUUAGUUGCUAACAGUUCGGCUGAGCACUCUAAUCAGACUGCCUUCGUAAGGAGGAGGAAGGUGAGGACGACGUCAAGUCAUCAUGGCCCUUAUGCCCAGGGCUACACACGUGCUACAAUGGCUAGGACAAAGAGACGCGAUACUGCGAAGUGGAGCAAAUCUUAAAACCUAGUCUCAGUUCGGAUUGGAGUCUGCAACUCGACUCCAUGAAGCUGGAAUCGCUAGUAAUCGUAGAUCAGAUAUGCUACGGUGAAUACGUUCCCGGGCCUUGUACACACCGCC